rnacentral:rRNA from 1 species
UGUGUAGGCGGGCUUGUAAGUCAGAGGUGAAAUCCUACGGCUCAACCGUAGAACUGCCUUUGAUACUGCAGGUCUUGAGUCCUGGAGAGGUUGUUAGAAUUCGUGGUGUAGCGGUGAAAUGCGUAGAUAUCACGAGGAAUACCGGUUACGAAGGUUGACAACUGGACGGGUACUGACGCUGAGGCACGAAAGCGUGGGGAGCAAGCAGGAUUAGAUACCCUGGUAGUCC